AUAAUGAUGAUUUCAUAUUUAUAAAAGGCGGGGACCUUCGGGCCUGCCGCUGAGAGAUUGGUUCGCGUCCCAUUAGCUUGUUGGUAGGGUAACGGCCUACCAAGGCGACGAUGGGUAGCCGGCCUGAGAGGGCGACCGGCCACACUGGGAUUGAGAUACGGCCCAGACUCCUUCGGGAGGCAGCAGUCGAGAAUCUUCCACAAUGGACGAAAGUCUGAUGGAGCGACGCCGCGUGAGGGAUUAAGGCUUUCUGAGUCGUAAACCUCUGUCAGGAGAGAAGAACAGCAUCCCUAUGAAUAGUAUGGAUGUUUGACGUUAUCUCCAGAGGAAGCUCCGGCUAACUCCGUGCCAGCAGCCGCGGUAAUACGGGGGGAGCAAGCGUUGUCCGGAAUCAUUGGGCGUAAAGGGCGUGUAGGUGGUUUUGUAAGUCGAAUGUGAAAUCUCACGGCUCAACCGUGAAAUUGCGUUCGAAACUACAAGACUUGAGUUAGGGAGAGGUGUACGGAAUUCCUGGUGUAGCGGUGGAAUGCGUAGAUAUCAGGAAGAACACCAAUGGCGAAGGCAGUACACUGGCCUGUAACUGACACUGAGGCGCGAAAGCGUGGGGAGCAAACAGGAUUAGAUACCCUGGUAGUCCACGCUGUAAACGAUGGAUACUAGGUUUUGGGGGUCUCAACCCCUUCAGAGCCGUAGCUAACGCGUUAAGUAUCCCGCCUGGGGAGUACGAUCGCAAGGUUGAAACUCAAAGGAAUUGACGGGUUCCCGCACAAGCGGUGGAGCAUGUGCUUUAAUUCGAGGCAACGCGAAGAACCUUACCUGGGCUUGACAUGGGAGCUCUCCCUUCGGGGGGGGUUAGCUAUGUGAAAGCAUGGUUAGUCCACACAGGUGUUGCAUGGCUGUCGUCAGCUCGUGUCGUGAGAUGUUCGGUUAAGUCCGGCAACGAGCGCAACCCUCGCUGUCAGUUACCAACGGGUAAUGCCGGGGACUCUGACAGGACUGCCGGUGAUAAACCUGAGGAAGGCGGGGAUGACGUCAAGUCAUUAUGACCCUUACGCCCAGGGCUAGACACGUUCUACAAUGGUCGGUACAAUGAGCAGCGAGACCGCGAGGUGGAGCAAAUCUCAAAAAGCCGGCCCUAGUACGGAUUGCAGUCUGCAACUCGACUGCAUGAAGCUGGAAUCGCUAGUAAUCGCGUAUCAGCAUGACGCGGUGAAUACGUUCCCGGGAGU
rnacentral:rRNA from 1 species